UACGGAGGGUGCAAGCGUUAUCCGGAUUCACUGGGUUUAAAGGGUGCGUAGGUGGGCAGGUAAGUCAGUGGUGAAAUCUCCGGGCUUAACCCGGAAACUGCCAUUGAUACUGUUUGUCUUGAAUACCGUGGAGGUCAGCGGAAUAUGUCAUGUAGCGGUGAAAUGCUUAGAUAUGACAUAGAACACCAAUUGCGAAGGCAGCUCACUACACGAGCAUUGACUCUGAGGCACGAAAGCGUGGGGAUCAAACAGG
rnacentral:rRNA from 1 species